UACGUAGGGUGCGAGCGUUGUCCGGAAUUAUUGGGCGUAAAGGGCUCGUAGGCGGUUUGUCGCGUCGGGAGUGAAAACUCAGGGCUCAACCCUGAGCGUGCUUCCGAUACGGGCAGACUAGAGGUAUGCAGGGGAGAACGGAAUUCCUGGUGUAGCGGUGAAAUGCGCAGAUAUCAGGAGGAACACCGGUGGCGAAGGCGGUUCUCUGGGCAUUACCUGACGCUGAGGAGCGAAAGCAUGGGGAGCGAACAGG
rnacentral:rRNA from 1 species